CCUACGGGGGGCUGCAGUCGAGAAUCAUUCACAAUGGGGGAAACCCUGAUGGUGCGACGCCGCGUGGGGGAAUGAAGGUCUUCGGAUUGUAAACCCCUGUCAUGUGGGAGCAAAUUAAAAAGAUAGUACCACAAGAGGAAGAGACGGCUAACUCUGUGACAGCAGCCGCGGUAAUACAGAGGUCUCAAGCGUUUUUCGGAAUCACUGGGCGUAAAGCGUGCGUAGGCUGUUUCGUAAGUCGUGUGUGAAAGGCGCGGGCUCAACCCGCGGACGGCACAUGAUACUGCGAGACUAGAGUAAGGGAGGGGGAACCGGAAUUCCAGGUGUAGCAGUGAAAUGCGUAGAUAUCGAGAGGAACACUCGUGGCGAAGGCGGGUUCCUGGACAUUAACUGACGCUGAGGCACGAAGGCCAGGGGAGCGAAAGGGAUUAGAUACCCGUGUAGUC
rnacentral:rRNA from 1 species